rnacentral:lncRNA from 1 species
UGUGGAGCAAACUUAUGUCAUUCAAAUGGAUCUAAAAGGAGUUCAAAAUCAUAUUCAUAUGAUCCAUAUAUAUUUGGGGCGUGCUUCAACUCAUAUGGGACAGAUUUGGUGCAACACUUGCAAUCAUAGGCUUAGGGAGCCUAAUCAAACCUAUGGGCUAAAACUACACAAAGGGAAGCCUAAAGUGAAGAUCAAGUAAGACUUUUGUGAAGACUCAGCUUUGUUAUGAUGGGCUUGCUAUAUUUUUAUUAUUUAACACUUGUUUUAUUUUAGCUUUGUUUGGACUUGUAUUUUGGCCAUACUUUAUCUUUUAAGUUUUAGAGUGUUGGGCCAUGUUUUGGGCUUAUGUUUUAAUACUUAUGUGUUAUUUUAGUGUGUGAUUGGGUUUGGGCC